rnacentral:ncRNA from 3 species
UACGGAGGGGGCUAGCGUUGUUCGGAAUUACUGGGCGUAAAGCGCGCGUAGGCGGAUCUGCAAGUCAGGGGUGAAAUCCCGAGGCUCAACCUCGGAACUGCCUUUGAUACUGCGGAUCUCGAGUCCGAGAGAGGUGAGUGGAAUUCCUAGUGUAGAGGUGAAAUUCGUAGAUAUUAGGAAGAACACCAGUGGCGAAGGCGGCUCACUGGCUCGGUACUGACGCUGAGGCGCGAAAGCGUGGGGAGCAAACAGG